CAGACAAAAGCCUGGGCAACGGCUCUCUGAAAAGGAUUCCAACAACAUGGGGAAUCAUCCCAAGAGCUGACAUGGAAUUAUAUGAAAUUUUAAAGCUUGUGAAGAGCAAAGGAAAUAAUCAGCAGUGAAGAGACAGCAACCAGGAUGGGAGAAAAUCUUGACCAACGCCACACCUGGCAGGAACCACAACACUCACUGGCAGAGGACAUUUAUCAUCUACAGGGCCUGGGCUCAAACCCCAGCCAAAAUAACAAUCAUCACCCAAGCUCUGAAAAGGGAGAGUGUAAAACUCCUAGAGAAGAAGAGGGGAAAGCAUCACGGCAUUAGUGGAUGUGGUCUCGUAGGCAGGACCCCAAAACACAGACAACAGGAACAGUUGUGACUACAGCAAACACAGACAACAGGAACAGUUGUGACUACAGCAAACUAAAAGGCUGCUGUUCAGCAAGUAAACAGCCACCAGAGUGAGAGUCAGCCUGCAAGAGGAGGAAGCCUUUUCAAGUUCAUUGGUGAAGUGUUAACCUACAAAACAAACAGUUCCAAUAAAUUAAUAAAUUUGAAAAUGAGUAACCUGAUUUUAAAGAUGACAAAGAAACAUUUCUCCAAAGGAAAUAAAUAAAGUGGCCAACAAGCAUGUGGGGAAAAAAAUGGCUAGCAUCACUGAUCUUUUGUGAAAUGCAAAUCAAAACCACAAAGAGAUAUUGCCUUCCUUCGGCUUUCAGGAUGCUACCAUCAAAGGGGGAGAAAGAUGCUGUGGGUCACAUCCCGGGCCUUAUACAUAGUGGGCCAGUGCCUUACCGCUGAGCUGUAUCCCAACCAUCUCAGUGUUGCUGCAAAGCUGCACUGGAACCUGAGAUCUGCCAACAUCUGCCUUUCGAAGUUGACCUGCUGUACCAUCAGUCUCUGCACCUUCUGGCUCUGGCUACAGAAUGCCAUGGUGGAAGUCACAAAGACCACACGAGGGGGAAGGUCGCCUCACACAUCGACCUGCAGAACUACUUUAAGAUUCUUCUUUGAAGUCUCUACAGGCUAACUUCACAACAGAUGAUAAUGUGAUGAAAUUCUUGACUCUCAACUGGUGAAGGACUUCAACUCCAGGCUAGCACCCUUCCCAUGGCCCCUUAAACGCCCUUCUUCCAUCCUGCCUCAGAGUGACCCAGGAAGCCAAACUCUCGGAGUUUUACUCCGGGUUUCCUUCCCCUACUGGACACCAAUGCGAAUAAGCAAAAAGAAAAAAAAAUGUUUUCUAUGUGUUUUAAUAUUUCACAGUGAACAUCGCAAAGCCAUUAUAAACUUAGAGGACUCCAUGUCUAAGAACCACGACCCGCAGGCAAGAUGCUUCAUCCGCCUAAGGUGCUUCCUGAGGACCUGAAUUUGAUCCCUGGGACCCACCUCGUGGGAGGAGAGAGCUAGAGAACUACUGCAGGUGAUUCUUGGUCCACACAGGAG
rnacentral:lncRNA from 1 species